CACUAGUGAUUUUGAAAGGGAAACGAUUGAAGUCAGUCGUACCUACGAGUAAUCAACCUACUCGAGUGCGAUUUUGUGGGUAUGUUUGAGCUUAAAAACCUUCAUGCUUACAAAUUGGUGUUCUUUGGGCGUACUUUCUCGUAUGGUAGGUUAACAUCAAUUUCGACCGUUAUAAAAUGACUGGAGGAAUGUAGCUUCGACCUCGGUUGAAGUGUUAUAGCCUUUGGUAGAUGUAAUGAUUGGGUUUGAGGAUUGCAACGGAUACCCUCUGGGCUAUUCGUCUGAUCUCUGGAAGUUACCUUGGUGUCGAAAGCGUGCUUACGAUAUUAAGGUUGACGGCCAAUAGGUUAGAACGUAAUUAAAUUCGUUAAGGAUGUUGACGUA
rnacentral:rRNA from 1 species